AUGGCUGAAACCCAUAAAUUCUGUUCCACUAUAGACACUAUCACAAAGGAAACCUCUUCCACAGAACUCGAGUCAACACUCUCCUGCUCAAACUUUGUGAGAGUGCUAGCAAACCACAUGACAUCAGAGGAGAUCACUGCAGAAUCUGGGUCCGAAGUGUCAAUGAAUAAUGUACCAGUCGUAUACAUUGACAAUGCUGAAGAUAUCACGUCAGAUUCGUCUAUACAUGAGGGUCCAGGCAUAAACGAGACGUCACCUGAGGCCACACCAUCCACUUCCAAAACAUGGGACAGAGAGGGGGACAAAAAAAGAAAGCCCUCAAAUGUCAAAGUGAAGGACUUGUAUAUGAAAUACUUGCAACAGGAGAUUGACUACAGGAGAUUAAAGAUGCAAAAGAUGUCCUUGGAGAUGAAAUUACUUGAGAAACAAUUAAAUGUAAGUUCCACACCUUAA
ensembl:lncRNA